GUGGGGAAUCUUGCGCAAUGGGCGAAAGCCUGACGCAGCAACGCCGCGUGUGUGAAGAAGGCCUUCGGGUCGUAAAGCACUGUCGAAGGGGAAGAGUGCCCGGUGUAUGCCGGGAGAGACGGUACCCUUCAAGAAAGCACCGGCUAACUCCGUGCCAGCAGCCGCGGUAAUACGGAGGGUGCAAGCGUUGUUCGGAAUCAUUGGGCGUAAAGCGUACGCAGGCGGUCUGGAAAGUCUGACGUGAAAUCCCGGGGCUCAACCCCGGAACUGCGUUGGAAACUAUCAGACUUGAGUAUGGGAGAGGUCCGUGGAAUUCCAGGUGUAGGGGUGAAAUCCGUAGAGAUCUGGAGGAACACCAGUGGCGAAAGCGACGGACUGGACCAAGACUGACGCUGAGGUACGAAAGCGUGGGGAGCAAACAGGAUUAGAAACCCUAGUAGUCC
rnacentral:rRNA from 1 species